GAAUCAAUGCUGAAGAAUCUGAGGAAGGUGCAUCCCGUUUCCACACUGGUUAAGGGCUUAUAUGGGAUCAAGGAAGAAAUCUUUCUCAGUGUUCCUUGUAUCUUGGGACGAAACGGCAUCAUGGACAUUGUGAAAGUGAACCUGAACUCCGAGGACGAAGCCCUUCUCAGGAAGAGUGCAGAAACACUGUGGAACGUCCAGAAGGACCUGGAAAUAUGAAGUCUCAACAUUCCACACUUUUACAGAUGUGUGAUUGCAUAUUUCACACAUCAAGUGUUUUCGUAUAAUAAAAAGUUAAACAAAA